rnacentral:piRNA from 1 species
UCUCCUGGUUAUAGAAUUAUCUGCUGGGA